CUCUCUCAAAGCAGCCUCAUCAAUUUGGAUGACGGUAAUGCCAGCCUUCUCGAGAUCCUCCACUUCGUCCUUGAUGGCCAAAGCAAUCUGAUAGCAGGUUUCAAAUCUGAAAAGAAGCCAUAUAAAUCAUGCAAACUAUUAUUAGUUUCAGAGAGAUAUACAUCUUUCUUAAGCCGCUUUUUAUGAGUUUUCUUAAUACCUGGGCUGGUCAUUUCGCACGAAGGACCAGUUCAGAAUAGUAACAGGGCCAGUAAGCAUUCCCUUCAUUGGGCGAGCAGUCAUGCUCUGAGCCAUGGUGGACCAGAAGACUGUCAUUGGCUUGGGUCGGCUCACAUCACCAUAGAUGAUUGGUGGCUUCACACAGCGAGAUCCAUAGGAUUGCACCCAUCCAUUGGCAGUGAAGGCAAAACCAGACAACUGCUCUCCA
rnacentral:lncRNA from 1 species